rnacentral:rRNA from 1 species
AACGAACGCUGGCGGCAGGCCUAACACAUGCAAGUCGAACGUGAAGCCACCUUCGGGUGGUGGAAAGUGGCAGACGGGUGAGUAACGCGUGGGAACCUACCUGGUAGUACGGAAUAACUCAGAGAAAUUUGGGCUAAUACCGUAUACGCCCCUAGGGGGAAAGAUUUAUCGCUAUCAGAUGGGCCCGCGUUGGAUUAGCUAGUUGGUGGGGUAACUGCCUACCAAGGCUACGAUCCAUAGCUGGUCUGAGAGGAUGAUCAGCCACACUGGGACUGAGACACGGCCCAGACUCCUACGGGAGGCAGCAGUGGGGAAUAUUGGACAAUGGGCGCAAGCCUGAUCCAGCCAUGCCGCGUGAGUGAAGAAGGCCCUAGGGUUGUAAAGCUCUUUCACCGGUGAAGAUAAUGACGGUAACCGGAGAAGAAGCCCCGGCUAACUUCGUG